rnacentral:rRNA from 1 species
GUAGGUGGCAAGCGUUGUCCGGAAUUAUUGGGCGUAAAGCGCGCGCAGGCGGUUCUUUAAGUCUGAUGUGAAAGCCCACGGCUCAACCGUGGAGGGUCAUUGGAAACUGGAGAACUUGAGUACAGAAGAGGAAAGCGGAAUUCCACGUGUAGCGGUGAAAUGCGUAGAGAUGUGGAGGAACACCAGUGGCGAAGGCGGCUUUCUGGUCUGUAACUGACGCUGAGGCGCGAAAGCGUGGGAAGCAAACAGGAUUAGAUACCCUGGUAGUCCACGCCGUAAACGAUGAGUGCUAAGUGUUAGGGGGGUUUCCGCCCCCCUUAGUGCUGCAGCUAACGCAUUAAGCACUCCGCCUGGGAGUACGGCCGCAAGGCUG